UUGAUUCAUUUGUUUUUUGCCUUUCGGCCACUCAGAGAUGCUUAUACAAGACAGAGUUUAACGUCCUCGGCGGCGGCGAGCCGCGCGCCGAAGCAACGGUGUGGUAAGUUCACAUAGGGUUUGGGAGUUGAAAACUCGGUAAUGAUCCUUCCGCAGGUUCACCUACGGAAA
rnacentral:misc_RNA from 1 species